GAGGGAAUCUUCCGCUAUGGGCGAAAGCCUGACGGAGCAACGCCGCGUGAGUGACGAAGGUCUUCGGAUCGUAAAACUCUGUUAUUAGGGAAGAACAUAUGUGUAAGUAACUGUGCACAUCUUGACGGUACCUAAUCAGAAAGCCACGGCUAACUACGUGCCAGCAGCCGCGGUAAUACGUAGGUGGCAAGCGUUAUCCGGAAUUAUUGGGCGUAAAGCGCGCGUAGGCGGUUUUUUAAGUCUGAUGUGAAAGCCCACGGCUCAACCGUGGAGGGUCAUUGGAAACUGGAAAACUUGAGUGCAGAAGAGGAAAGUGGAAUUCCAUGUGUAGCGGUGAAAUGCGCAGAGAUAUGGAGGAACACCAGUGGCGAAGGCGACUUUCUGGUCUGUAACUGACGCUGAUGUGCGAAAGCGUGGGGAUCAAACAGGAUUAGAUACCCUGGUAGUCCACGCCGUAAACGAUGAGUGCUAAGUGUUAGGGGGUUUCCGCCCCUUAGUGCUGCAGCUAACGCAUUAAGCACUCCGCCUGGGGAGUACGACCGCAAGGUUG
rnacentral:rRNA from 1 species